UACGGGGGGGGGCAAGCGUUGUUCGGAAUUACUGGGCGUAAAGGGCUCGUAGGCGGCCAACUAAGUCGGAUGUGAAAUCCCCAGGCUCAACCUGGGAACUGCAUCCGAUACUGGAUGGCUUGAAUUCGGGAGAGGGGAUGCAGAAUUCCAGGUGUAGCGGUGAAAUGCGCAGAUAUCAGGAAGAACACCCGUGGCUAAGGCGGCUCUCUAGUACGGUACUGACGCUGAGACGCGAAAGCGUGGGGAGCGAACAGG
rnacentral:rRNA from 1 species